CUUGUCUGUGAAGGCUAAACAUAACACAACAGCUUCAACGUUCUGGGAUAGGGCCAAGUCACCGACGCACUUGCGAUUACCCUUAACUCGGCGUGGAAAAAGGGACUGAUCCCUCUGCAGGAAGCUACUCUUCAGGGAGGGAAAGUGGAAGAUCGCCCUUUGCCUGGGAACGAUGAGAACGGGUCCCGAUAAAUGCCAUCGACAGAUUGACUCCCACUGGAACGGAAGCCAAUGUCUAAGGAACACUCUCCCAUCCUCGAGGUUUUUACGGGGCGAAAAUGCAAUCAUCAAAAUCAUUCACUCCGGACCCACGACCAAGCUCGAAUAGGCAGAGAGCAAAAGAUCUGUGGCAAAAUACAACCGUUGCCCAAGAAAGGAAAAUUUACAUUUUUCUUUAGGAACCAGCGGCUCAAAUGAAAUCACAGGACCUCAUCUCAAAAUACUUACUAGUCGC